rnacentral:rRNA from 1 species
UACGUAGGGGGCAAGCGUUGUCCGGAAUCAUUGGGCGUAAAGCGCGUGUAGGCGGCCCGAUAAGUCCGCUGUGAAAGUCCAGGGCUCAACCCUGGAAUGCCGGUGGAUACUGUCGGGCUCGAGUCCGGAAGAGGCGAGUGGAAUUCCUGGUGUAGCGGUGAAAUGCGCAGAUAUCAGGAGGAACACCGAUGGCGAAGGCAGCUCGCUGGGACGGUACUGACGCUGAGAACGCGAAAGCGUGGGGAGCAAACAGG